UACGUAGGGGGCUAGCGUUGUCCGGAAUCAUUGGGCGUAAAGCGCGCAUAGGCGGCCCGGUAAGUCCGCUGUGAAAGUCAAAGGCUCAACCUUUGAAUGUCAGCGGAUACUGCCGGGCUAGAGUCCGGAAGAGGCGAGUGGAAUUCCUGGUGUAGCGGUGGAAUGCGCAGAUAUCAGGAGGAACACCAACGGCGAAGGCAGCUCGCUGGGACGGUACUGACGCUAAGGCGCGAAAGCGUGGGGAGCGAACAGG
rnacentral:rRNA from 1 species